AUGUUGGACAUAUGAAUCAGAAAAACGUCCCAACUUCGAGGAAAUCCUAGAUGAACUGCAAACUCUUUUUACAGGAAACAUCGAUGGAGACGAAUACUACUACUCGCAGAAUGGACUUUACGACAACCGAAAGUGAAGAACAUUCAGCUCGGUCGCUUUUACGGCACAUGCAGCUCUGAUCGCAGUCUCAGACAAUCGUUACAUUUCAAGUGUCUCAAUAUACAAUUUUGUUUUGUACAAGUAGCUCAUUUCUACUCUCAGAAUGACCUUGACAACAACCGAAAAAAUUAAUCUGUUUAAUUUUAGUGCAAAUAUGAACUAACAAAUCAAUAUCGUGUCUUUGUUAUAUGAGCUUUUUUUUACCUUUGCUGCACAGAAUAUACUUUAUGACAAAUGAAAAUGAAGAAAAUUUAGCCGCUCGCAUUUACGGCAUAAAGCCGAACUUUACCACGCAACAUCAGACAAGAUUGAUUUUUUAUGUGUACCUGUUUUUAUACCUUUGUUACUAAAAUGUAUGCGAUAAUUCUCACGUUCAUGUUGAUAUCAUUUGUUGAUAAUGUACCAAGUAGACUGAUGAUAUAAUUUUCGUUAAAUCGUUCAUCAAAGUAACCAGUUUGUCCGUCUAUAAAAACACGAAAGUAUACGUUUUUUAACAUACCCAUAAACAUCCAUAUAUAUUAUUCAUAUAUAACAUGUAUUACUUUAAUUGAAUUCCAUGCAUUAUAUACUGGUACACGUAUAUGCUAGAUAUCUAAAAAUGUGUAUGUAACCGUGCAAUUUUAAACAGAGCCAAUAUAAGUAUUCCACUGGGGUAUCUUAAUAUAUUCUAGUAUCACUAGUAGUUCCAUCAGGUAAAUCAAAGUUUACAUACUUAAAUACGCCACAAUGUUCUUUAUUUUUUAUAUUGUGAAAGCAAGCAAUACAAUAUACAAUUUUACAAAAAAUUCCAUAUAUUAUUCAUCAAUGUUGCUGACAACUUUUAUUUUAUAAGGUAAAAUAUAUAUAGAGAGGAUGAGUUAGAAUUACAAAUGCACUAAAAAGAUUAUAAUAAAUAAAAACCAAAAAAACUAAUGAAAAGAAAAUUAAUUAAAAUGUAAGAGUCCAUUUCUGUCAGAAAAUGUUAUUAUUCCUGAGUGAUCACUGUCUGAAGUAUAAUUGUAUUUCAAAAUGUUUUUUAAAAAAUUGAUGAAUUGACAACUAUUUUGACAGCGAUCUUUAUAGAUGUACUGUUUUAUUAAUAUCGGCAUAGAACUGAAUAGUUCUUAUAGUGCAUUUUUAUUAAAUUGACUGAAAAUAAAAUUUGCAGUACUUUUAAUUUCAGGAUAUCUCGAUUGACAAAUGCUAUCAAGAUUUUCUAAAAUCAUUGAAUAAAGUUUAUUCAAGGGAUAAAAGUUGAUAGGUGUAAUAUUUAGUUCUUUAUUGUGCGUUUUAAGUUUUGAAAUUUUUUCUGGCAAGAAUAUAUCCUAUAUAUUGACUUGAGGUAUAGAAAAUAGAAAUUUUAUGUGAUCUUGUGUUAAUCAGGAAUUUUCAUGUUUUACUGUUUUUUUUAAUAAAUUGUCUGUUAUUUGUUCCACCAUUCAAAAUAUGUCAACAACAUGUUCACUUGAAAAUCAAUCCACCUUUAGGACCUAAUAAACAUUGCAUUUGAACACAUGAUGUAGAAUUAUGAAAAGAAUUGAUUAAAUUUCAAAAUU
rnacentral:misc_RNA from 1 species